GAUGAACGCUGGCGGCGUGUCUAAUACAUGCAAGUCGAGCGAACGGACGAGAAGCUUGCUUCUCUGAUGUUAGCGGCGGACGGGUGAGUAAAACGUGGAUAACCUACCUAUAAGACUGGGAUAACUUCGGGAAACCGGAGCUAAUACCGGAUGAUAUUUUGAACCGCAUGGUUCAAAAGUGAAAGACGGUCUUGCUGCCACUUAUAGAUGGAUCCGCGCUGCAUUAGCUAGUUGGUAAGGUAACGGCUUACCAAGGCAACGAUGCAUAGCCGACCUGAGAGGGUGAUCGGCCACACUGGAACUGAGACACGGUCCAGACUCCUACGGGAGGCAGCAGUAGGGAAUCUUCCGCAAUGGGCGAAAGCCUGACGGAGCAACGCCGCGUGAGUGAUGAAGGUCUUCGGAUCGUAAAACUCUGUUAUUAGGGAAGAACAUAUGUGUAAGUAACUGUGCACAUCUUGACGGUACCUAAUCAGAAAGCCACGGCUAACUACGUG
rnacentral:rRNA from 1 species